GUAACGACCAUGCAAUUACAGGUGGUUUAAAUGCCUUCAAAUUUGGUGAAUAAUGGAAUUUGACGUCGUUCCCCCAUUUGCAUUACAUGUUGUGAUGGUUUAUCUGAAAUCCUAGAGAGAAAGUUAACCAGUGAAAGAAAAUUUGCAGUCAGCUGGUAAUGACAUGCACAGAGUGAGAAGAGGAGAGAAAGACAGAUAUAGGAAGUGUCAGAGACUAAGUUGUCGUACACGUGUGUAUAAAACACAGACGUAUACGCGUGAUCAAUGCUUCAUUUGAAAUAAAUAAAUAAAGACAGACAGAAAUAAAUAAAUAAAUAAAAGAAAGAAAGAAAGAAAGAAAAUAAAAUAAAUGCUUCAUUAACAUCAGUGCAAAAAUGCUGAAAGACUAAGAACAGAAAUGGCAAUCUAAAGAAAUAAGAAUAAAACUGAAGCAAAAGUAAACGUAUAUUUAUAAAACCGACAUAGCCACAUGACAGGCGUCUCGCACACACGUUCAGUUCAUAUGAAGAAGCGGGCAACACAAACACACACGCACGCAUGCACACGCACGCACACGCACGCACAAACACACACGCAAACACACUUUCAAACAAACGCCAGCGGACACAAUCAGAAACACAUAAUAUUAACACAAACACAAACAUGUAACCCCACAUUUAUAUCUAUACAUGCGUGAAUGUGAGUGCAUUUAUGAGUUGUACAGGGAGUGCGUGUGUGUCCAUGUGUUUUGUAUGUGUGUGCAUCAGCCUAAAGAGGGAUACGAAUUACAAAUGAUGUAAUCUCUGCUGCAUGAAACAUAAAAUGACUUGGGAAAUCACUUUCAAUGGAGAUGAUCAGCUCUUUAAAUCAUUGAGAUAAAUGCACUUUAAGGAUGUUUAAUGACUAACAAUGAUAGCUGUUUACUUAAAUAAUAAAGAUGAGAAAUAUUCGUUUUAAUAAUUUAGCGAAUGCAAUGUUGAGUGGGACUCAUUUGUCUACAAUCAACUGUUGAAACAUGUUUCAGACUUUAUAAUCUCCUUAGGGAUGUAUCGUAUAUCUACGCAGUCCAUGUACUAAGAGGGAUCAAUUCAUAUAAAGCAAUAGCAAAUUAAGUUAUACUAAAUAUAAAUCUCAUUGAUAUGACGGAUUAAGAAAGUCUCAGCCGAGCAUUUUUACCUACAAAAUGCAGCUGUAUUAUUUUCCAACUUAAUGAAAUAUAGUGAAUACAGAAAACAAAUCGUGCGAUUUUCAAAUAAAAUCGCUAAUGUUCAUUGUCCUUAUGUUCAUAAUAUUCGUUCCGUUCUUUUUACUUGAGUUAUUUUCUCUGCCUUUUGUGCUGGAGCUGCUCUGCUUCUCUCAUGUGAUUGCAUGUGAGCAACUCACUGUAUCCCA